UGAGAUUAAAAGCAAAAACAAACAAAAAAAACCCACCCCAAAUCCCACCCAUAUGUCUGGGAAAAGCCUGGUAUGUUAAUCCAGAGCACUCUGUCUCCCUACCUCAUUCUGAAGUGGUCAGAAACCUUUCUAAAGGCACCAGGGUGGUCAGCCAGGCCUGAUUUGGAAGCCACUCUUUAAUUUUAUUUUUUUUUCUCUUCCAUUUGGGCUGUUGUCUGCUCCUUCUCCAAGUUGUUCAGCAAGAUGCGACACAAAGGCACGGAGAGAUGUAUUGUUGUUAUCGGUGGUUGUUGUUCCUAAGUCUCUAUUGAUUUUUAUGAAAGAAAUAAUAACAACGUGUGUGAGGGAUCCGGCUAACAAAAGAGGUCCUGCAGUACACAUCUCGAAUUAAAUAUACAGAAGCAGGAUCCAGCUGGGAUAUUGACGGGCAGGCACAAAGCGGCGUGAGUCAGCGCGGUGCUGGAGUGAAGGCAGGACUCUGCCUCCACACCUUGCUACCAGAGCAGGUGCUUGGGACCCAGAGUAGCCCCAGCACAUCUCACAUUUUGGAAAUAAAGAAAAAAAAAAAAGCCACGAGGAAGGAAAGCAAAGGGCAGACCUGGUCCUUGUGGCUGCUUGACUCCAUUGACUCCGUGGCUGAUGCAGCCCACGUAGGGAAGGAGGUGAGGAACCAGCUCUGGCAUUGCAACCUCUCAACUUCAUCUGCAUUAAGCCAGCUCCAACACAGGGCUCAAUCUCCAUUUUCCCCUUUCUACCCUUAAUUUUGCAUGCCCUCACUUGUGGAUGUAACCCACAAGUGAGACCUUUUUGCUGUGGUUCCCUGGUGGGAGCAGAAGCGACCUGACCUGACGUGAAAAAGCACCGUGCUCUUCGUGGCUCUGUGCCUGAUGCCUCGUCCAGGAGGCCUGAGAAAUUCAGACAAGGCUCAGGUAAUCCCGUAAUGUCAGAACUUGUCUCUCCCCUGACUUUACAAGGAAUUCCUGAGCAUAAUAUUGAAUCACAACCGUAUCUCUGCUCUUAAAUCAUUUCCCCUAGCAAAACAUCACCCCGUAGAGGAAGUCCUUUCAGCGAAGACAAAAAUGAAAGCGUUUAUCGGUUUGAAAAGAUCCCUCUGUGUGCCAGAAUCAGUGAGAGAGAGAGAAUGGAAGUGUUAGUGCCUCCGGCGAUGCCUUUGCAAGGCUGUUUGUCAUCCCAGCCCGAGAAGCUGAGCACACACAAAUAUUAAACUAAUAUUUUUGGCGCUUGGUGAGUUUUGAUCGGCGGUUCGCGGCGCCUGAGGCAGCGAGCAGGAAUGAGAUGCAGUAUCCUGGAGCUUCGUAUUCGUGGCUGAGUUGACGCUCCUUUUAUAUUUAUUUAUAAGUAUGUGUGACUCUUAUUAUUGCUAUUUAUCUCCAGUGUGAGAGAGGGAGAUGCUAAUGAUAGCCAGUAGCAGCACCCACCCAAGACUGCCAAGUCAGGAAGCAAAACAGCAAAAUAAAGUGUUCUGGGGCCUCGAGACCCUGCCUGCACCAAAUUGAUGACGCAGCAGGAUUGUGCUCCAACGUGAGCAGGGAGCUGGCUGAGGAUGCGCAGGAAGCCUCGUUUCCCAAAUCUCCCUGCUUCGGGGUCAAAAAUCCUCCUUCCUACCUAGGUACGGGCUGAAAACCAGCAAAAAAAGGAACCUGAGAGCUGGUUAAUCUCCACAAGGUCGAGGUUGGUGCGGAUGCUCCUGCAGGCAGUGGGAUGGAAGCCUGUCCUGAAGUGGUGCUACCCGAUGUGACUUUGAGGAGCUGGGUUGGUUUAUUUUUUUUUAUUUCUUUUUCUUUUUUUUUCUUGUACAAAUGCAGAGGGAAAAUAAACACGGCUGUCAACCCGUGACCCUUCUGAGCAGCCGAGGCCACCCCUCGUGCUCCAAAUAGCCGCUGUCGGCUGAGAUGUGCUUUGUGGGGAGCGUACAAUUACGUGGGCUCUUUCAGCAUCUGGGAGCGGUGUAAGCUGUUAUUUUCUUGAGCGAGGAAGAGGUUGAGAGGUUCAGGAGACAACAGGCAGCUCUGCGAGGAAGCCACAGUUAACCCCGAGUUAAAUUUAACUCCCUGGGAGCAUCGGGAGCCUUGCGGCACACGAGGACGGGCACCCUCCUGCUUGUGGCCUCCUGCAGGGAGCUCCUCCGGCUCCAAGCUGCUUGGUACAAGGAGGUUUUGGGGCAGGAAGGAGCUGAAUGCUAAAGAGGAGAAAGGACGAGAGGUUCCCUUCCCAGCCGUCUGCGAGGGUGACUCACCCUUCCCAAAUUCCUGGCAGUUUCUCUCAGUGACCAGCAGCUCUAGCUCGCGUUGCUGAUUCAUAACUGCUGGAAGCUUCUCUGCCUGGGUUCGGGCUAGGAAAAUUGAUGUGUUGGCUCUGAUCUCACAAGAAGUUGUCGUAGAGAGGGCAAGGGGCAGCCCGAGAGAAAGGAGGGAGGGCAGCAAGAGAAGAUGUAGGGAGGAAGAGGUAAAAGAAGAGGAGGCGGUACCCAAGACGGAAAAUGUGUUUGGAUUUCAAGUGAUGGGGAAAAACACGUAGCUGAUCCCAAGCCAAGCAACUGAACAGCUUGAUGUGGUGCGUGAUGCACAGCUCUGCUGCCACUGAUUUCUUAUUGCGGCAGGGAUAUUAGUAAUAAAAUCAAUAGCAAUAGUUAGCGAGGCCUAAUAACUACGCAGAUUCAGGUCAGAUUAGAUUGAUAUCGCUUCUCCUAAUAAUCCACACUCGUUGCUGUCACGUGCUAGGUAGAAAUAGAUAGUGUCUUUAAUUAAAAACAGGGGCUCCAGCACUUCUAUUCACUUCGUCAUAACUGGAGAUGGCCCAGUCCUUACCCCAGCAAUGCAAUGUGUCCUGAAGGCUUUCUAAAUGAGAAGAAGGCCUCCGUUGUUUCCUUGGAGCUGUUUCUAAAAUAACCAAAUGUUGUAACUCAAAGGUCAUAGCACAAACACCGUCUUUGUCGGCGGGUGAGUUGGCUGCGUUGACCUCGGGUAUUUUCGACUUGUGCGUGCUCCCCAGCCACCCAGCUGGAGGAACCAGCAGCUUGUAGCGUCCAGAAAGCUGGGUCUGUGGUGGGAGAGCAAGGAGAGGGGACUUGGCUGAGCUUUUGGGGACGUCCCCUGCAAGAAGACAAGGUGCCAGGGGGUGAGAUGGGACCCAGGACCUGCAUGGUGUCAGGCAGCAGAGCUUUGUCCUUGCCUGCCCUUGGAUAAAAAGGGCGUUUUGCAGAGCUGAGCCUGGCUGCUGGGCUCAGCAGGCUGGGUUUGGCUGGCUGAGGAGCACGAGUUGCUGGCCUGGGGAGGCAGCUGAUGGAGCAGCACAAAGGGUUCCUGACCCCAGAGAAUCUCGAGACCAUGGCAGGGUGACUCCUGGGGAUGCUUCCCUUUGGAUGAUUAUUACAAAAAGAAAAAGAAGAAAACACAAAACACCACUAUGCCGCCAAUGCCCAUGCUCUGAAGCUGCUGGGAAUGAAGCUCUGCACCGUGCAAAAGCCCCCAGACUGACCUUGCAGCAACUCCUGGUGUUCAGACAUCAGGUGUCGUGUCUACGCCUCGUGCUGGGGCAUGACCAGAGCCCUUCAGGUGUUCGUGCCAAAAAAAUACACGUGUUGGAGCCCCUGCUUGCAGAUGAGCUGGGUCAGGCUGUGGUCACCACCCCUUGCCCCGGCUCGAGGUGACGGCCAUGCCCAGCAGCUCACCCCGGGGACCCGGCUGGUGGCCUCAAUCAAUGUGCUUCCACGAAAAACGCCAGCGUAGAGAAAACAGCAUAUUUAGAAGCAAAAGGCUCACCGGGUUUUAUUGAAUUUGUUCCAAGCCGUUCUGCGUUCAAUCACCCAGAAACUGUCUCCCUGCAGGCAACGAGAGCUUCUACUAACGAGUGUUUGCUGUACGAAAUAGCCCGGCUUGUACUUCCCGAGGGCUGUGCUCGGCGCCUGCCCUGCGCUGGGGCUCCUGCCUCCUCUCCUCCUUGUGCCUCGGUCGUGGGAACCAAACCUCAUGCAAAAGGGGAAGAAAAAGGAAGAGGGGAGGAGGAGAAAGGAUAAGAAAAUGUACCUACUGGGUUCUGCUCUGGUGCCCAGGAGGAAAAACUGCAUCCUGCACCGGAGCAGCAUCACCUGAGUGAUUAUCUCCAUCUUCCUUGGGAUGGAAAGGGAGGUUCUCCACCUGGAUGGUCCGAGUUAUCCAUCCCAGCAGGCAGGGCUGCCUGCCCGUGCCCAAGCUGGGCUGUGUUUUGGGAAGCUUUGAACCCUGCGGUGGCCGGGCAUUGAGUAGGCAGCGGGGAUUUUUCUCUUGGCAGGAGCCAGGUCUAAAUCCUUUCUCUUUGUGGAAAGGAGGCAAGAAAAUGCACGUGCUGCUCCUGGGGAGGGGUGUCCGUGCUGUGCCUCUGAUGCUGGAGCCAGGAAGCAUCAAAUCACCUUUUGCUCCUCUCCUUGGGUCUCACUCCCCCUUGGUGCUCUUCUGGCUGGCUCACACUUGCUGUUGGGCUUUGUGCACCCUUCAAAGCCUAUCAGUGCUGUGUUUUCUGCGUUUUUGGGGUCUAAUCAGGACAAACUUACCAGGCCUGGGCUUUAUCUCGCUUGCAGUGGUUAAAAACAGCUCCACGCUGAUUUAGAAACAUCAGGAGGCAGGAGCUGUUCCUCCCCGGGCACCCUGGAGAGAGCACAGCCAGAGUUUCCCCAAAGCACGUGGGAACACCGCUUCCACCACAAGUUUUGUUGGGGCUGCAUUUACUGCCCAUAUAUAACAGAUCUGCCUAUGUCUCUGCUUCUCUGGGUCCAAAUAUCACGCUUCCCACCCAGCUGCACCAUAUUUGUGGAGCUAGGUUUGUAUUUGUGCUUUUUUGGGAUGUUUCUUGUUUGGCUCCUGUUUGAUUUCUGUUUUUUCUUUGUGCUCAAGCGCCCCUUUGGGCCCCAGGGACCAUGUCCCAGGAUGGCUGGAGGGCAGCACCUGCCCUCUUCCCACUUGCUGGGGGUCCUCUUUGCCCUGUCUCUACCCAGCCACAAGUCUGCUGGCUUUCACGUGGCUUUUUGCUCCUCCAGAUGUGCCAGCCUGCGGUGAAAAAUGGUGAAAUCCUCCGUGAACCCCAGCAGCACAUCCAGGAGGCAAAAAGGUCUAAUAAAUAGUGCUUCCUGCUGCCUUCGGCUCCUGCCCUGAGACAGGAGGAGAAGCGAGAGGCGGGAGAGCGGAUCUGAUAGCCCCGGCGCCUGUGCUCGUCCCUUCCUGCCCUGUAACUGCUGUGACUCUGGCAUCUGCCCCAGUCUCAGGACAAGGCUUUGAGGAGGGGGACAGAGAGGAGGAAAACCUGCAGGCAUCUUGAGACAAACCCAAGCAGAAUUCGGGAAAGGCAAUAUUUAAUAGCUCAGCAAUCACGCUCUCCUUUCCAAGAUUUGCCUUUGGAGAACUUUAUUUUUCUCUCCGAGUGUCUGUGCUGGCUCAGAAGUGACUCAGGACUUGAUCGAUACCUCUGGUGGCUGCUGCCGCGGCCACUGAUGGGAAGCUGGUGAGAAUUAUUCAGGUGAAAGCCCCGGAGAAACAUCAGUCAGGAGGGGGAAAGACUGGUUUGGGGCCUUUUGAGGUUCAGAUCAGGAGUGCUUCUGUACUCCCCACCAGGACUGUCCUGCCCUCCGACUGUUCUGCUCCCCAGGGAGCCCCUGGGAUCUCUCUACCUGGUAGCACCCCGCAGCUUCUCCUGUCUGAGUGAUUUCUCCUGGGGUUGGAAGCAAUGUGAGCAUCCCCUCGUUCCCAAGCUGUGGUCUUGGUCCAAACCUCUCCAUCCUGCUCGAGGGCCACAUCUGCUUCCCAUUCACCCAGGGGAAAAAAGGACAACUCUUGCUGCACCCAGGAUGCUGGAUGGAGGGAUGAUGGGGCAGGAAGCAAGCAGGAGAAGCCUUCCCUGGGCGCGGGCAGGGCUUUGGAGCACGUCAGUGCUGGCACCCGCUGCUGGAGGAGCUGAGCCAAGGAGGGGAAUGACACAUCCCAGCACAAACAGCCAGGGGAUGACUGCGUGGAGGCGAGGAACGGCAGUGCUUAACCCUUCGGAGAUGCCCAGAAUAAAAAUACAGCAGAGACACGUGGAGGAAAGGAGCCGUCGGGACAAACGGCCAUGGGAAAUCCUGGAAAGACACCGAAGUCCCGCAGGAGCGAGGCACCCAGGUGGGCUGAGGACAGAUCCUGGCACCCCUGCUCCAAACUGGGAAGCUUGCAGCCACGGUUUUGCAUGUGAGCACGGCCUGCAUCCCAUCAGGAGAAGCAGGACGAUGAAACCCAGCAGUAAUAGCACGAAGCCGGGUACUGGGAGCAGAGUGGAACAACAUAAAAUGUCCAGCUUGUUUAUUUUCCCCCCGUUACUUAUCCCAAAUGACCCGAAUGGAUGGAUUCCUCUCUGCCAAGGCCGGGCUGAGCUGAGCCCAGGCGUUAAGCUGGGUGGGAAAGACCUGCCAGAGCACGGGUCAGGGAGAAAUGCUGAAUAUAUUUAUAUAUCACUGGUGAUUUCUGGAGUUCUUCCCAUCCCAGACAACCUGACCUUCAGUUUGUUGAACUCCCUCCUGUGACUUGAACAGAGUCACAAGCUGCUCGUCCCUGGAAGCACCAAGACAUCCCCCAGGAGGUUUAGCCCCAAGUGCUUUAUUUAUCUCCCGACCCCGUGCUGUCCUCAGACUGGGAAGGGACUCGGAAAAUCCCUCGGGUCUGUGAUCCAGGUGUAAUUUUUAGCUGGAUUUCCCAAGGAAAUGGAGCUGGUGGGGUCGUGGCUGUCCGUGUGUGAGCGCCUGGCUGCUGGCCAGUGCCCGUUUCAGCCCUUCUGACCCUAUGGCCUGGUUUGGGGCAGUUUGGAGAGGGUUUGAGGUCUUGGAACAGGACAGAUCCCACAAGAUCUGUAAGCACAGCAUUAGUUUAGCAUCAGUAGGGAAUGCCCUGGUCCCUCAAACCUUGACUUCACUGCCACCUGGGCUUCUUGCGCGCUGGAAAUUGCUGCCAGACAUUUGCUUGCUCGUACAAAAACCCUACGAGAUGAGGGAAAACUGCAGCACGUUGCCACCCGCUCACCACGCAGCGUCCCCAGGCUCCAGGUGGCUUCAGGCAGCAGCAAACAAAACCUCACCAGGACGCCUGGUCCGAGACCCCGGCCCCACCGUCCCGCGCCCUUUCCGGGUCCGUGCUGGCUGUCCCGGUGCUGUUGGCAGGUAUAUUGCAGGAGGAAACUCGCCUUGGCCUCCGAGAGCACCGGGUGUUGCUCCCAGAGGAUGCUCGGGCAGUGACACGCAUUGUUAGCGAGGCCGGGCUGCAUCAGGGAAAACACGUGGAGUGACACUCAGCCAUCGGUGGUGCCUCCCCCUCGCUCGUAACUCUGUCAGCCCUUU